rnacentral:rRNA from 1 species
UACGGAGGGGGCUAGCGUUGUCCGGAAUUACUGGGCGUAAAGCGCGCGCAGGCGGCUAUCCAAGUCAGUGGUGAAAGCCCGGGGCUCAACUCCGGAAUUGCCUUUAAAACUGCAUCGCUAGAAUUGUGGAGAGGUAAGUGGAAUUCCGAGUGUAGAGGUGAAAUUCGUAGAUAUUCGGAAGAACACCAGUGGCGAAGGCGACUUACUGGACACAUAUUGACGCUGAGGUGCGAAAGCGUGGGGAGCAAACAGG